UAAAUAGACUUCUAAGGCUUCCAAUUGUAUGGAAGCAAGGUUCAAAAAAUCGCAUAAAUCAGGGACUAAUCGCCGAUUAAACGCUAAAAUAUUGAUGACCGAUGUGAGUAAUGUAAAAUUGGGCCAAACAUCGGGUAAAUAAUGAAGAACAAAUCAUAUAUAUGAAAGUUGGCCAACUCUUUCCAUAUGAUUGACACAUCAUCACUUUAGCAUUUGCCAUGUGUCCUCUAAAUAAUUAAUGUAAGCUCUUCAACUUCUAAUUUAUAGAUUAAUGAUGUAUUUAUU
rnacentral:sRNA from 1 species